UUAAGCGACUAAGCGUACACGGUGGAUGCCCUGGCAGUCAGAGGCGAUGAAGGACGUGCUAAUCUGCGAUAAGCGUCGGUGAGGUGAUAUGAACCGUUAUAACCGGCGAUUUCCGAAUGGGGAAACCCAGUGUGUUUCGACACACUAUCAUUAACUGAAUCCAUAGGUUAAUGAGGCGAACCGGGGGAACUGAAACAUCUAAGUACCCCGAGGAAAAGAAAUCAACCGAGAUUCCCCCAGUAGCGGCGAGCGAACGGGGAGGAGCCCAGAGCCUGAAUCAGUGUGUGUGUUAGUGGAAGCGUCUGGAAAGGCGCGCGAUACAGGGUGACAGCCCCGUACACAAAAAUGCACAUAUUGUGAGCUCGAUGAGUAGGGCGGGACACGUGGUAUCCUGUCUGAAUAUGGGGGGACCAUCCUCCAAGGCUAAAUACUCCUGACUGACCGAUAGUGAACCAGUACCGUGAGGGAAAGGCGAAAAGAACCCCGGCGAGGGGAGUGAAAAAGAACCUGAAACCGUGUACGUACAAGCAGUGGGACGCCUCUUAAGUGGGGUGACUGCGUACCUUUUGUAUAAUGGGUCAGCGACUUAUAUUCUGUAGCAAGGUUAACCGAAUAGGGGAGCCGAAGGGAAACCGAGUCUUAACUGGGCGUUAAGUUGCAGGGUAUAGACCCGAAACCCGGUGAUCUAGCCAUGGGCAGGUUGAAGGUUGGGUAACACUAACUGGAGGACCGAACCGACUAAUGUUGAAAAAUUAGCGGAUGACUUGUGGCUGGGGGUGAAAGGCCAAUCAAACCGGGAGAUAGCUGGUUCUCCCCGAAAGCUAUUUAGGUAGCGCCUCGUGAAUUCAUCUCCGGGGGUAGAGCACUGUUUCGGCAAGGGGGUCAUCCCGACUUACCAACCCGAUGCAAACUGCGAAUACCGGAGAAUGUUAUCACGGGAGGCACACGGCGGGUGCUAACGUCCGUCGUGAAGAGGGAAACAACCCAGACCGCCAGCUAAGGUCCCAAAGUCAUGGUUAAGUGGGAAACGAUGUGGGAAGGCCCAGACAGCCAGGAUGUUGGCUUAGAAGCAGCCAUCAUUUAAAGAAAGCGUAAUAGCUCACUGGUCGAGUCGGCCUGCGCGGAAGAUGUAACGGGGCUAAACCAUGCACCGAAGCUGCGGCAGCGACACUAUGUGUUGUUGGGUAGGGGAGCGUUCUGUAAGCCUGUGAAGGUGGCCUGUGAGGGUUGCUGGAGGUAUCAGAAGUGCGAAUGCUGACAUAAGUAACGAUAAAGCGGGUGAAAAGCCCGCUCGCCGGAAGACCAAGGGUUCCUGUCCAACGUUAAUCGGGGCAGGGUGAGUCGACCCCUAAGGCGAGGCCGAAAGGCGUAGUCGAUGGGAAACAGGUUAAUAUUCCUGUACUUGGUGUUACUGCGAAGGGGGGACGGAGAAGGCUAUGUUGGCCGGGCGACGGUUGUCCCGGUUUAAGCGUGUAGGCUGGUUUUCCAGGCAAAUCCGGAAAACAAGGCUGAGGCGUGAUGACGAGGCACUACGGUGCUGAAGGACAAAUGCCCUGCUUCCAGGAAAAGCCUCUAAGCAUCAGGUAACAUCAAAUCGUACCCCAAACCGACACAGGUGGUCAGGUAGAGAAUACCAAGGCGCUUGAGAGAACUCGGGUGAAGGAACUAGGCAAAAUGGUGCCGUAACUUCGGGAGAAGGCACGCUGAUAUGUAGGUGAAGCGACUUGCUCGUGGAGCUGAAAUCAGUCGAAGAUACCAGCUGGCUGCAACUGUUUAUUAAAAACACAGCACUGUGCAAACACGAAAGUGGACGUAUACGGUGUGACGCCUGCCCGGUGCCGGAAGGUUAAUUGAUGGGGUUAGCGGCAACGCGAAGCUCUUGAUCGAAGCCCCGGUAAACGGCGGCCGUAACUAUAACGGUCCUAAGGUAGCGAAAUUCCUUGUCGGGUAAGUUCCGACCUGCACGAAUGGCGUAAUGAUGGCCAGGCUGUCUCCACCCGAGACUCAGUGAAAUUGAACUCGCUGUGAAGAUGCAGUGUACCCGCGGCAAGACGGAAAGACCCCGUGAACCUUUACUAUAGCUUGACACUGAACAUUGAGCCUUGAUGUGUAGGAUAGGUGGGAGGCUUUGAAGUGUGGACGCCAGUCUGCAUGGAGCCGGCCUUGAAAUACCACCCUUUAAUGUUUGAUGUUCUAACGUGGGCCCCUUACCGGGGUUGCGGACAGUGUCUGGUGGGUAGUUUGACUGGGGCGGUCUCCUCCUAAAGAGUAACGGAGGAGCACGAAGGUUGGCUAAUCCUGGUCGGACAUCAGGAGGUUAGUGCAAUGGCAUAAGCCAGCUUGACUGCGAGCGUGACGGCGCGAGCAGGUGCGAAAGCAGGUCAUAGUGAUCCGGUGGUUCUGAAUGGAAGGGCCAUCGCUCAACGGAUAAAAGGUACUCCGGGGAUAACAGGCUGAUACCGCCCAAGAGUUCAUAUCGACGGCGGUGUUUGGCACCUCGAUGUCGGCUCAUCACAUCCUGGGGCUGAAGUAGGUCCCAAGGGUAUGGCUGUUCGCCAUUUAAAGUGGUACGCGAGCUGGGUUUAGAACGUCGUGAGACAGUUCGGUCCCUAUCUGCCGUGGGCGCUGGAGAACUGAGGGGGGCUGCUCCUAGUACGAGAGGACCGGAGUGGACGCAUCACUGGUGUUCGGGUUGUCAUGCCAAUGGCACUGCCCGGUAGCUAAAUGCGGAAGAGAUAAGUGCUGAAAGCAUCUAAGCACGAAACUUGCCCCGAGAUGAGUUCUCCCUGACCCUUUAAGGGUCCUGAAGGAACGUUGAAGACGACGACGUUGAUAGGCCGGGUGUGUAAGCGCAGCGAUGCGUUGAGCUAACCGGUACUAAUGAACCGUGAGGCUUAACCUU
rnacentral:rRNA from 1 species